CCUACGGUGGGCAGCAGUGGGGAAUAUUGCACAAUGGGGGAAACCCUGAUGCAGCGACGCCGCGUGAGUGAAGAAGUAUUUCGGUAUUUAAAGCUCUAUCAGCAGGGAAGAAAAUGACGGUACCUGAUCAAGAAGCCCCGGCUAACUACGUGCCAGCAGCCGCGGUAAUACGUCGGGGUCAAGCGUUAGCCGGAUUUACUGGGUGUAAAGGGAGCGUAGACGGCAGCACAAGUCUGGAGUGAAAGGCCGGGGCUUAACCCCGGAACUGCUUUGGAAACUGUGCAGCUUGAGUGCAGGAGAGGUAGGUGGAAUUCCUAGGGUAGCGGUGAAAUGCGUAGAUAUUAGGAGGAACACCAGUGGCGAAGGCGGCUUACUGGACUGUAACUGACGUUGAGGCUCGAAAGCGUGGGGAGCAAACAGGAUUAGAUACCCCUGUAGUC
rnacentral:rRNA from 1 species